UCCAUCCUUUCUUUUCCUCUUCUCUUCACUGUGAAGUCGAUGUGAAUUCCUCCUUCCAACCAAUCAGACACUAGUGUGGCGGUGGCGGACACUCACAAUCUUGAAUAGGAGAUUAAAUUUUGGAGGUGUUACACACUCUUAUCUUCCUAUCUACAACCGCUAUCUCUCUCUCACGACCACUAUAAGCACAUACAUGCACGCACAUAACCAUGAAAGGGGUAGCAGAGCAGAUGCAUCUGCUGCCGGGGUUCAGGUUCCACCCCUAUGAUGAGGAGCUGCUUCUCAUGUAUCUCCUCCCCAAGACUCUGGGCGUGGCUUUAGUCGCAGACAUCAACCUCUACAGAUAUGAUCCAUGGGUCCUACCUGAGCUUUUUGUAAUUUAGCCUGGAAAGCCAAUAUGAGUUGCCCAAAGAAAAAAAAGGACGAAGAGGAUCGAGGAUUUAGCACGAAUGAAUUUGAGGAGGACUGGAUUUCGACGUCAAUGUUCCAAGAAUGAUCGAUGGUGGAUCGCCUGCUCUGGGGAGAAAAUUCGCGUUACGGCCUCCGAGCUCUUGUUCUUCUUGUCCUCUUCUCUUCCCAAGAAUGAUCGAUCGUGGGUCGGCUGCUCUGGGAAGAAAAAUUCGCGUCACGGGCAACUAGCUCUGGUUCUUCUUGUCUUCUUUUCUCUCUCUCGCGGCCGUUCUUUUGCAUAUUUCCCUGCUUCUAGGUUUCUGGAAGCAGGCGAACAGGCACAGCUGAAGAAAGGAUUCAUAAUGGGCAGAUCCGGGGACUGCCUCUUGUAGAGAUUAGAGAAAGCACCUAAAGCUAUUGAACCACAAACAGGUGGUGAUGAUGCAAAGGUAUGACAAUGGUGUAGCGGAAUCAGUGAAUCUUGCAUAAACACAUGCAUCUUUGGCACCGGGGCAAUGUUUAGCCCACCAGCGCAGAGGACGCUGCCCUCCCCAUAUUGGAACGAAGGGCUGCCCCACGACGCCAAUUCAAGCAGCAACGGAGGGGGAAGCUCGAAUGCUGCGUUGCUUAGCCAGCUACCCAACGUCGCAGCUGGUGGAGGGUACGGUGGUGGUUAUGGUGGCGCAGCUGGUGGAGGGUACGGCGGUGGUGCUGGUGGAGGCUAUGGAGGUGGCUACGGUGGCGGCUACCCUUAGAGAAUCAAAAUGGCGACUUGUGAGCUAUGAGGUAGUACGUGAACUGAAGCUUUCGAUUAAGAUGAAGAACCGAAUAAAAUGAGGGAUAAACUGUGCUGCUUUCUGUCUGUUUCUUGUGUGUAACUCUUAUUUGUUAAGCGUCUGUACUUCUAUGUUGUUGUAUCAAUUAAUUUGGAGAACGAUAAUUGAG